UACGUAGGGGGCAAGCGUUGUCCGGAUUUCUUGGGCGUAAAGCGCUCGCAGGUGGUUCGUUGCGUCGUGCGUGAAAGACCCCGGCUCAACUGGGGAGGGUCGUGCGAUACGGGCGAACUGGAGGCCAGUAGGGGGAUGCGGAAUUCCGGGUGUAGUGGUGGAAUGCGUAGAGAUCCGGAGGAACACCAGCGGCGAAGGCGGCAUCCUGGACUGGUCCUGACACUCAUGAGCGAAAGCGUGGGGAGCGAUCCGG
rnacentral:rRNA from 1 species